CUUGGGCCAGUAGUGCAGCUGUACACUGUAGGGUCCACUUGCUAGUAUCUAUCCAAUGCAAAGCCAACCUCCAGUGAAAUCGUGGAAAACCAACUGCACACUGUCGGUUCUAAAAUGUAAUAUCCAGAUGAGCCUCCCCUCUCGAGACCCAUAGAAAAAUUUGCAACUAACCCCCUGCCACCACAUGGAACAUUUUUAUGUAACGCCAAGCCAUUCUAAUGUGUUAAUGGACAUUUCUAACAUGGUGAAAUAAAUACCAACCCCG
rnacentral:lncRNA from 1 species